UACGGAGGGGGCUAGCGUUGUUCGGAAUCACUGGGCGUAAAGCGCACGUAGGCGGGGCGCUAAGUCGGGGGUGAAAUCCUCGGGCUCAACCUCAGAACUGCCUUCGAUACUGGCGACCUUGAGUACGGGAGAGGUGAGUGGAAUUCCCAGUGUAGAGGUGAAAUUCGUAGAUAUUGGGAAGAACACCAGUGGCGAAGGCGGCUCACUGGCCCGUAACUGACGCUGAGGUGCGAAAGCGUGGGGAGCAAACAGG
rnacentral:rRNA from 1 species